GUUGGGUUAAGUCCCGCAACGAGCGCAACCCUCGACCCUUAGUUGCCAGCGGGUAAUGCCGGGCACUCUAAGGGGGACCGCCCCGGAUAACGGGGAGGAAGGCGGGAUGACGUCAAGUCAGCAUGGCCUUAUGUCCAGGGCUACACACGUGCUACAAUGGGCGAUACAGAGGGAAGCAAGGCCGCAAGGUAGAGCUAAUCCCUAAAGUCGUCCUCAGUUCGGAUUGCAGGCUGCAACUCGCCUGCAUGAAGUCGGAAUCGCUAGUAAUCGCGGAUCAGCUACGCCGCGGUGAAUACGUUCUCGGGCCUU
rnacentral:rRNA from 1 species